CUGGCAUAUCAAUAAGUGGAGGAAAAGAAACUAACAAGGAUUCCCCUAGUAACGGCGAGUGAAGCGGGAAGAGCUCAAAUUUAAAAUCUGGCAGUCUACGAUUGUCCGAAUUGUAAUCUCGAGAAGUGUUUUCCGCGUUGGCCUGUGCACAAGUCCCUUGGAACAGGGCGUCAUAGAGGGUGAGAAUCCCGUCCUUGGCACAGAUACCCAAUGCUUUGUGAUACACUCUCAAUGAGUCGAGUUGUUUGGGAAUGCAGCUCAAAAUGGGAGGUAAAUUCCUUCUAAAGCUAAAUACUGGCGAGAGACCGAUAGCGAACAAGUACCGUGAGGGAAAGAUGAAAAGCACUUUGGAAAGAGAGUCAAACAGUACGUGAAAUUGUUGAAAGGGAAACGAUUGAAGUCAGUCGUGCCUGCCUAGAUUCAGCCUUCUGGUGUAUUUCUAGGUCGGCAGGUCAGCAUCAGUUUGGGAGGGUUAACAAGGGGAUUAGGAAUGUGGCAACCUCGGUUGUGUUAUAGCCUAGUUUCGUAUUGAUCUUGCUGGACUGAGGAACGCAGUGCGCCCGCAAGGGUAGGUCUUCGGACACUU
rnacentral:rRNA from 1 species